AGCGCAGGCGGUGCGGCAAGUCUGAUGUGAAAGCCCGGGGGCUCAGCCCCGGUACUGCAUUGGAAACUGUCGUACUAGAGUGUCGGAGGGGUAAGCGGAAUUCCUAGUGUAGCGGUGAAAUGCGUAGAUAUUAGGAGGAACACCAGUGGCGAAGGCGGCUUACUGGACGGUAACUGACGUUGAGGCUCGAAAGCGUGGGGAGCAAACA
rnacentral:rRNA from 1 species